CUUAUAUGUCAGUUGUAUUUUAAAAGACAAAUGUAUCAAGUAGCCAAUGAGCAUCAGUUAAUGAUCUUGUCUGCAUUGAUUCAACUUAAAACUAUUGUCUGAUCGGUUGUCAGGUGGAAUUUUCGAAAACUCGUAAACAUUUCAAAAAGUUUUUAUUAAAUAUUUCGUGGAAGGGCAGACUAGAUUUUUUUAGUGGUUGAAGAGUAUAAACCCUAGUUAUCACACAUACAAAAUUAUAAUUUUUCGAAGAUAUGAUUUUCAAUCAUCCAACUAGAAAGACUGUCGUCAAGUACUUUUAGAAAAAAAUAGCUAUUCGAACACACCUACUCUGUUUUUGUAAUUCAUUAGAUAGGUAUUUCACUUGACCCA
rnacentral:lncRNA from 1 species